rnacentral:misc_RNA from 1 species
GAUGAAGAACGUAGCGAAAUGCGAUAAGUAAUGUGAAUUGCAGAAUUCAGUGAAUCAUCGAAUCUUUGAACGCACAUUGUGCCCGCCAGUAUUCUGGCGGGCAUGCCUGUUCGAGCGUCAUUUCAACCCUCAGGCCCCCAGUGCCUGGCGUUGGGGAUCGGCGUGGGCGGCGACGGCUCUCCGGAGCCCGAACCAAUGCCUGCCGGCCCCGAAAUUCAGUGGCGGUCUCGCUGUAGUCCCCCUCUGCGUAGUAGCACAACUCGCAUUGGAGCUCGGCGGUGGCCAUGCCGUAAAACACCCCACUUCUGAAAGUUGACCUCGGAUCAGGUAGGAAUACCCGCUGAACUUAAGCAUAUCAAUAAGCGGAGGA